rnacentral:rRNA from 1 species
UCGGGCUGUCGCUGACCUUUCUUUGAAAGGUCGUGCACGUCCAAGUGCUCUCUUAUAUCCAUUUCACCCCCUUUGUGCAUCACCGCGUGGGCUCUCCUUUUUGACUUGUGCUGAAGGGGACGUUCACGUUUUUACACACACCCUUCGUAAUAAGAAUGUCUUACUUUUUGCGAUCACACGCAAUCAAUACAACUUUCAACAACGGAUCUCUUGGCUCUUGCAUCGAUGAAGAACGCAGCGAAAUGCGAUACGUAAUGUGAAUUGCAGAAUUCAGUGAAUCAUCGAAUCUUUGAACGCACCUUGCGCCCCUUGGUAUUCCGAAGGGCACACCCGUUUGAGUGUCGUGAACACCCUCAACCUUCUUGGUUUAUUGACCGGGAAGGAUUGGACUAUGGAGGUUUUUACCUUGCUGGGUCUCCUUUGAAGCCAGCUCCUCCUAAAUCAAUUAGUGGGAUCUGCUUUGCUGAUCCUUGACGUGAUAAGUAUGCUUCUACGUCUUGGGUUUCGCAACUGUUGCCUGGCAGCCCGCUUCUAACCGUCUUUGAAUGAAGACAAUGUUCGAGUUGUUGAGACUCGAUGCAGAAAACCUUGACCUCAAAUCGGGUGAGACUACCCGCUGAACUUAAGCAUAUCAAUAAGCGGGAGGAAA